rnacentral:rRNA from 1 species
GACGAACGCUGGCGGCGUGCUUAACACAUGCAAGUCGAGCGGUAAGGCCCUUUCGGGGGUACACGAGCGGCGAACGGGUGAGUAACACGUGGGUGACCUGCCCUCAGCUCUGGGAUAAGCCUGGGAAACCGGGUCUAAUACCGGAUAUGACUCCAUGACGCAUGUUGUGGGGUGGAAAGCCUUGUGCGGCUGAGGAUGGGCCCGCGGCCUAUCAGCUUGUUGGUGGGGUGANGGCCUACCAAGGCGACGACGGGUAGCCGGCCUGAGAGGGCGACUGGCCACACUGGGACUGAGACACGGCCCAGACUCCUACGGGAGGGCAGCAGUGGGGAAUCUUUGCGCAAUGGGCGAAAGCCUGACGCAGCGACGCCGCGUGAGGGAUGACGGCCUCGGUGU